UUUUAAUGCUAAGGGAAACAGAUAAAUGGCUAAGAAGUGGCUGCCUCUUUGAAGCCUUUCUAAUAUCAGGAGGCCCCAGAAGAUUGCAGGAGAGAAGAUCUGCAGGUGGAGAAAAAAUAGCCUUUGAUUACCCAAAUGAAUGAAUCUCAAGACAGAGGCCUGCACCUGUCUCAACUGAAGUUCAACACAAGUAAGAUACAACGCCCUUAAAGAGAAGAACAGCGUUUUGAAACUCUAGGAUCAAAAGAAAACAAAAGUUGGUUCAUUUGUGAUUCCUCAGUGACAAAAUACUUCCAGAAUUUUAGGCACUGUUAAACUGAGUUCUACAUGAGCACCAUGUGCUACCAAUUUACUUCAAUUGUCUCCAUUGCUAAGGACUGAUGCAGCUGGCUGGUUUGAUCCAAAUGGCGAUGAUUAAGAUCCUGAAGUCAAUUAAAUUUUUUUCCACUGAUUUCAACAGACCUUGGAUAAGGUCUUGAUGGUUUAUGAAUUAAAAGAAACAUACUGAAAGCAACUUUUUCCAACAUAUUGGGGAAGAGGGGAGGGAAGAGGGAAAGAGAGGGGAGGAAAACAACCUCUUAUUUACGAGUGUUAAAAGAUGAACUUCAGAAACAUUCCUGGCUUCUCUGAGUUUUUGUCAGAACAUUUUAAUGUAUGUGCUUGAAAAUGUUACAGUCAAAAAAUACUAUUGCUUGACUCUAUCAAGAUUUCUUCUGAGUUCUUGUCAAUUUUGAUAAGCUCUUUUUUGACAUAUUCUCAGUUGACA
rnacentral:lncRNA from 1 species